ACCAAGGCGACGACGGGUAGCCGGCCUGAGAGGGUGACCGGCCACACUGGGACUGAGACACGGCCCAGACUCCUACGGGAGGCAGCAGUGGGGAAUAUUGCACAAUGGGCGGAAGCCUGAUGCAGCGACGCCGCGUGAGGGAUGACGGCCUUCGGGUUGUAAACCUCUUUCAGUAGGGAAGAAGCGAGAGUGACGGUACCUGCAGAAGAAGCGCCGGCUAACUACGUGCCAGCAGCCGCGGUAAUACGUAGGGCGCAAGCGAUGUCCGGAAUUAUUGGGCGUAAAGAGCUCGUAGGCGGUUUGUCGCGUCUGCUGUGAAAGCCCGGGGCUCAACCCCGGGUCUGCAGUGGGUACGGGCAGACUAGAGUGCAGUAGGGGAGACUGGAAUUCCUGGUGUAGCGGUGAAAUGCGCAGAUAUCAGGAGGAACACCGAUGGCGAAGGCAGGUCUCUGGGCUGUUACUGACGCUGAGGAGCGAAAGCAUGGGGAGCGAACAGGAUUAGAUACCCUGGUAGUCCAUGCCGUAAACGUUGGGCACUAGGUGUGGGGGACAUUCCACGUUUUCCGCGCCGUAGCUAACGCAUUAAGUGCCCCGCCUGGGGAGUACGGCCGCAAGGCUAAAACUCAAAGGAAUUGACGGGGGCCCGCACAAGCGGCGGAGCAUGCGGAUUAAUUCGAUGCAACGCGAAGAACCUUACCAAGGCUUGACAUUCACCGGACCGCCCCAGAGAUGGGGUUUCCCUUCGGGGCUGGUGGACAGGUGGUGCAUGUGUGUCGUCAGCUCGUGUCGUGAGAUGUUGGGUUAAGUCCCGCAACGAGCGCAACCCUCGUUCUAUGUUGCCAGCACGUGAUGGUGGGGACUCAUAGGAGACUGCCGGGGUCAACUCGGAGGAAGGUGGGGAUGACGUCAA
rnacentral:rRNA from 1 species